rnacentral:rRNA from 1 species
GAUGAACGCUGGCGGCGUGCCUAAUACAUGCAAGUCGAGCGAACGGACGAGAAGCUUGCUUCUCUGAUGUUAACGGCGGACGGGUGAGUAACACGUGGAUAACCUACCUAUAAGACUGGGAUAACUUCGGGAAACCGGAGCUAAUACCGGAUAAUAUUUUGAACCGCAUGGUUCAAAAGUGAAAGACGGUCUUGCUGUCACUUAUAGAUGGAUCCGCGCUGCAUUAGCUAGUUGGUAAGGUAACGGCUUACCAAGGCAACGAUGCAUAGCCGACCUGAGAGGGUGAUCGGCCACACUGGAACUGAGACACGGUCCAGACUCCUACGGGAGGCAGCAGUAGGGAAUCUUCCGCAAUGGGCGAAAGCCUGACGGAGCAACGCCGCGUGAGUGAUGAAGGUCCUCGGAUCGUAAAACUCUGUUAUUAGGGAAGAACAUAUGUGUAAGUAACUGUGCACAUCUUGACGGUACCUAAUCAGAAAGCCACGGCUAACUACGUG